rnacentral:rRNA from 1 species
AAUGGGCGCAAGCCUGACCCAGCCAUGCCGCGUGAGUGAUGAAGGCCCUAGGGUCGUAAAGCUCUUUCGCCAGGGAUGAUAAUGACAGUACCUGGUAAAGAAACCCCGGCUAACUCCGUGCCAGCAGCCGCGGUAAUACGGAGGGGGUUAGCGUUGUUCGGAAUUACUGGGCGUAAAGCGCACGUAGGCGGAUCGGAAAGUUGGGGGUGAAAUCCCGGGGCUCAACCCCGGAACUGCCUCCAAAACUAUCGGUCUAGAGUUCGAGAGAGGUGAGUGGAAUUCCGAGUGUAGAGGUGAAAUUCGUAGAUAUUCGGAGGAACACCAGUGGCGAAGGCGGCUCACUGGCUCGAUACUGACGCUGAGGUGCGAAAGUGUGGGGAGCAAACAGGAUU